CGGUACUCUAGUUGCCAGCCAAAGCAACUGCGUAAAGGAGAAAUCGCAUUUCGAAUGCUCCCAGACGACAAUGCGCACGAGGUAUGACAUCACUGGUGGAUCGUUUUGUAUUAGAAAAAUUUCAAAUAGCGCGACGCAACUUUCUACAUCAAAUUGCCUGAUUGGAGACAACAAUUGAACAUUCACCUUCACUGUGAGGUAGGUGUAGUUCCGUAGCGAUGAGAGGAAAAUGCUGCAGGCUUUUGCUAAGACUUCUCAUGCGCGUAGGUCUGGAACUCCGAGGAAACACUUAAUCAACUUCUGCUUUGCCGUGUUCUCCUAGUUUACGACUCUUCUAGUCGAUCUGAAGUUUCCGAACUCCAAAUCGAGAUAUCUAAGAUUUCCAUUAGAUCAAGCGUGGUUGAGAGAGUGGAUUCUGCGUUUGAGGCUAAAAGGGAGGCAGUUGGACCACAUUCCAGAUCGUUUUACAGCACUACACAUCAAAGCAGAAGUUGAUGCGCUGUAUCCUUGAGGUUCCAGACCUGCGCGGACGAGAAGUCAUAACGAAUUCAUCCAGCAUUUUUCUCUCAUCGCUACGAGGCUGCACCUACUUCACA